rnacentral:lncRNA from 1 species
GGAGACCCUCUGUGGAACCAGCGUGCCCCUGAUCCUGCCCUCUGCCCUGACUGGAGCUGGGAGGAUUCUUCACCCAGGGCGGCCACUGAGGCAGCAGCUGGUGGGAGACCCCAAUAGAGAAUAACCAAACCAGCCUCUAAUUGCCAAACUGGAGCUGGCACUAGACACCAAGAGCACCUGGGUGUCAUGAGGGAUGGGAGAGAGAAAGGGAGAGGACAGCAAGCAACUAAUUGGCAGCAGAGCCCACUCCUCCUGUCGGUGGAUUCUCCCUAGUUGCUCUCCAGUGGGGCACUAGAGGCAACACAGAUUGCAGCCAAGAUGGUCUGCACGUGGUGCAGGGGCUCUGCCAGGGCAGCUGCUGCUCAGGACUGUAGGAGCAAUGUUGCUUGGAUUUGGAGUCUCCUCCAAAGAAAGCACAGCUCACACAGAUCUUAGUGAGAAAUAGAGAAUCCUGAUUUUGUUUGGAAGGACAGCGUGCCUGGUUCCAG